GUGACCCAACUCCUAGGCCUAAGAGGGCUUUGAGUCCUCCGUUAAAGAGGGCAGCCCUCAGCCUAACAGAGUUCUCAAUUUGAAGGAUUAUUGGGGUCAAGUCUGAUAAGAUAAAUAAAGAUAAAGAUAAAUAAUCACCUGAGCAGCAGACUGAGCAGCCGAGCAGGUCACCUGUUUAGUCUUCUCCAUUAUGCAAUAUGUAACCUGCCACGCUUCUUAGAUCGUAAUCCCAUAUGUGUCUACUCAGAAGUGAAUCCCAUUGAGACAUACUCCCAGGGUACAUACAGUAAUAUUUCCAGACAGUCAGCACAAUGGAUAGCUCCCUGUGUCAAUCCUCUGAUCGAAGAAAAAUUGCAAUAAUUAUUCUUUCACGGCUAAUGCAGA